AUGGGCUCUGGCCUUGUAAGGCCAAUUGCUCCUAAUCUCCUAUACGAAAAAAAUUCUAGCAGACAGAACGAGAGUUGAGAGAGCAAAUCGAAGUUCGCAAUCGCCAUGUAUAUUGAAUGAGAGCAAAGGAACCUCUCUCGUCUUCUCUGAUCUGUUUUCUUCGACUGCACGCCAAUCGCUUGAGCUCUCAUUUCUCGGCCUUUUAUCAGGAUGGAAGUUGAUGGUGUGAUUACCCCAAAAGAACAGCUCGUGGGUGUGACUAUGGAUUUGGAGCAAGAGCAAGAACAACAAGAGCAUGAGGAAGACGAAGUGGAAAAUGAAGAUGAGGAGGGAGUUGAAGAGGGAGUUGAAGAGGGAGAUGGGGGAGGAGAUAACGAAAAUGAAGAAAGUUUAGAGAUUGAUAAGAAAAGAAAGAGAAGGAGAUCUGCGGUUUGGGAUGAGUUCGACGAAGUAAAAGGAACAAACAAAAUGCAAUGCAAACAUUGCAAGGCACAACUUCAAAUCAGUGGUGGCACGACAUCUCAUUUCAGGAGACACUUGAAGGGAUGUGCAAGAAGGAUGACAAAUCAAAAGUCUCAAAAGAUAUCGGGUUUCCGCUCGGGUAAAAUCACUAGUUUGAUGUGUGGAGGUGAUUGGAUACGAAAUCUUCAUGGGUUAAAGAAGAAAUCACGCAAGAAAGAAGAAAAGGAUGAAGAGUUUGUUCUCAAUGUUCCAUAAAAGUUAGUGUUUGCAAACUAGGGUGUAGCCAUGCAGCCAUGGGAGAGGGUAGAGAAUGGGAGAGGUGGUGUUUGAUUUACUGAUUUCCUUUUAAUUUCCAUCACAGGUUGGAGUUUCGGAAGUUAUAGAGUUCAUUUCAAAACAUGGAGAUUCAAGCUGCUUACAAUCAAGAAGGAUUGUUGGAGUUUAAUUACAGAUUUUGUUAUUGUUUAUGAAGUAUUUGACUCGUAUAUUAUUUUGGAGUUUACUUACGGAUUUUAUGUAAUGUUGGCUGCUAUUGUAGUAAUUUUACUUGUAUUAAUGUUGGAUUUUAUUUGAGGAAUUUUUAUAGGGUUUUUUU